rnacentral:rRNA from 1 species
GACGAACGCUGGCGGCGUGCCUAAUACAUGCAAGUCGAGCGAAGUUUUUCUGGUGCUUGCACUAGAAAAACUUAGCGGCGAACGGGUGAGUAACACGUAAAGAACCUGCCUCAUAGACGGGGACAACUAUUGGAAACGAUAGCUAAUACCGGAUAACAGCAUAAAUCGCAUGAUGUAUGUUUAAAAGUUGGUUUCGGCUAACACUAUGAGAUGGCCUUGCGGUGCAUUAGCUAGUUGGUGGGGUAAGGGCCUACCAAGGCGACGAUGCAUAGUCGACCUGAGAGGGUGAUCGGCCACACUGGGACUGAGACACGGCCCAGACUCCUACGGGAGGCAGCAGUAGGGAAUCUUCCACAAUGGGCGAAAGCCUGACGGAGCAACGCCGCGUGAGUGAAGAAGGAUUUCGGUUCGUAAAGCUCUGUUGUUAGGGAAGAAUGAUUGUAUAGUAACUAUAUACAGUAGAGACGGUACCUAACCAGAAAGCCACGGCUAACUACGUGCCAGCAGCCGCGGUAAUACGUAGGUGGCAAGCGUUGUCCGGAAUUAUUGGGCGUAAAGCGCGCGCAGGUGGUUUAAUAAGUCUGAUGUGAAAGCCCACGGCUCAACCGUGGAGGGUCAUUGGAAACUGUUAAACUUGAGUGCAGGAGAGAAAAGUGGAAUUCCUAGUGUAGCGGUGAAAUGCGUAGAGAUUAGGAGGAACACCAGUGGCGAAGGCGGCUUUUUGGCCUGUAACUGACACUGAGGCGCGAAAGCGUGGGGAGCAAACAGG